GAUGAACGCUGGCGGCGUGCCUAAUACAUGCAAGUCGAGCGAACGGACGAGAAGCUUGCUUCUCUGAUGUUAGCGGCGGACGGGUGAGUAACACGUGUAUAACCUACCUAUAAGACUGGGAUAACUUCGGGAAACCGGAGCUAAUACCGGAUAAGAUUUUGAACCGCAUGGUUCAAAAGUGAAAUACGGUCUUGCUGUCACUUAUAGAGGGAUCCGCGCUGCAUUAUCUAGUUGGUAAGGUAACGGCUUACCAAGGCAACGAUGCAUAGCCGAACUGAGAGGGUGAUCGGCCACCCUGGAACUGAGACACGGUCCAGACUCCUACGGGAGGCAGCAGUAGGGAAUCUUCCGCAAUGGGCGAAAGCCUGACGGAGCAACGCCGCGUGAGUGAUGAAGGUCUUCGGAUCGUAAAACUCUGUUAUUAGGGAAGAACAUAUGUGUAAGUAACUGUGCACAUCUUGACGGUAACUAAUCAGAAAGCCACGGCUAACUACGUG
rnacentral:rRNA from 1 species